rnacentral:rRNA from 1 species
GUGGGGAAUCUUGCGCAAUGGGCGAAAGCCUGACGCAGCCAUGCCGCGUGAAUGAUGAAGGUCUUAGGAUUGUAAAAUUCUUUCACCGGGGACGAUAAUGACGGUACCCGGAGAAGAAGCUCCGGCUAACUUCGUGCCAGCAGCCGCGGUAAUACGAAGGGGGCUAGCGUUGCUCGGAAUUACUGGGCGUAAAGGGCGCGUAGGCGGACAGCUUAGUCAGAGGUGAAAGCCCAGGGCUCAACCUUGGAAUUGCCUUUGAUACUGGCGGUCUUGAGUUUGGGAGAGGUGAGUGGAACUCCGAGUGUAGAGGUGAAAUUCGUAGAUAUUCGGAAGAACACCAGUGGCGAAGGCGACUCACUGGCCCAAUACUGACGCUGAGGCGCGAAAGCGUGGGGAGCAAACAGGAUUAGAAACCCGGGUAGUCC